AAUUGACACCUACAGAUAGACACUAAAAUUUUUUCUCUUAUUCCAGGAGCUAAUUUCCACCCUACAUGUCAUUUGUUUUCUAUACCAUGCCUUUCUGGAAUGGCCUGCACACCCAGCACAGGGAGGAAGUGCUGGACUGAACUGAAAAGCUGUUACGUUGGUCUACAGACAGGCCAAUGCAUACCCAACUGUGCACCCACUCCUGUGCCAUAUGACACCCUGCUGGUUCUCAGACGUUGUGCUUCUUUGGAACUUUUUGUCUGUUCAUCAGCUUCUGGUGUUGCUGCCAUUAGUAAGCAGCCCUGGCACCGGUACCCGGGCUCUGCUAUGGUUGCAGUUAAUGUGGGUAGAUCAGCUAAAUGCAAGUAAACUCAAGCAUCUUCUCGUUGACACACCUCUGACUGUUAGCUGGGUGAUCAGUUGGAGACUGGCUAAGGUUUCUAAGGUGACAUGAAAUUAAGCAAGUUGCAAAACAUGUAAACAAACUAUAAAGAAGAGAAAGUAGGGGCUUGGUAACUGAUCCAGCUGCAAGUUCCAGACUGAUGCAUAACCUGCCAACAUGAAGAUCACUGCAGGAUCAGGUCUUAUGAAGGAAGCACUCCCUCUUCUCUUAAUGACAGGAUCAUUAGUAGUGCAGGUAUAUAGAUCUUUUAAACUAAUAGUGCAACAGAUUGUUCCUGCUGCAUUUAACAAGCAGUUCAGUAUAACAGCCACAAGCUAAAAUAUUUGCAAGUUCGUGAACUUCAAAGCAAACUUUCCUUCUUUCUAAAGAGACUUACAAACAACUAGGCAUAUUUUCUCCCACUUCAUCUUUAAAGAAAUUACAAAAGAAUAUAUACAGCAGGCCUGAAAUUCCUGCCAGUCCUUCAUCUCAAUUUUCUUGGCAUAUUGAGAAGGAAUCUGGAUGCCGAAAUUUACUGUUAAUGAGUACCUUAUUUUAUGGAUGUGUUCUUGUUCUGUGCACUAAUGCUUAUGAGAACUGUUUGUGUUCUUAUGGAGGGCCAAAAAAGCCACCUAGAAGAUAAAUGCUGAAGUAACCAGUGAAAUAUUUUACUACUUUGUUGGGUGUUUUUUUAGUUUGGAAAGUAUGGGUGGUCAUUAAUUGAGCUAAAUUUCUUUAUUGAUUUAUGUAUCAGUUGAUUAUUAUGUUAAUUCUACAAAUUAUCUGCAGUCUUCAUUUCAAGGGCUAGACAACUGCAGGAAAAAUCGGUCUCCUGUGGCUCGUGAUGGAUUAAAUGUAGAGGCAGCAAAUAUUAAGGAGCUGUUGGUCAAUGCAAACAAAAGCUGCAGGUAGUAGUUUGAUUGGAAACAAUGAUGUGGAUGAAGUGUAUCUAAACACAACGUCAAGUGUAAAGCAAGAAUGUAAAGAAGUGGCAAGGACAGCAACUCCAGAAUGGAACAGAUGAGGGGAAGCUGAAAACACUUGCCUAGAAAUGAAAGAAAACCAAACCCCACCAGCAGUAGGCAGGAAGGAUUAAAAGAAGUAAGAUAAAAAAUAGAAAUGCUGUACACUUACUCGUGAUUUCCAAGAAUCACCAAGUGACUGUUGUUGAAAGCUGGACUAAAAGCAAAGGAGGUGAAAAGCUGGAGGACUUUUUGAGGGGACAGUAGAAGAAUGUGUCUGCCCAUUGAAAGACAACCAUUUCUGCUGGUUUCAUCAGAACAGAAUUGAACCCUCUGUGAGCUAUGGAGAAAAAAAAUCAAUGCUUUUAUCUUGUUGUGGUCCUAAAUCUAUACGUGAUUCAUAUGAUGUUUUACAUUCUGUAAAUUGAGUUUUUAUACUUAGGAAAAUUUUCAGGACUGAAGACUCUGCAAUGUCUUUCCUCGUUCCUUCACUGGUAACAGCAGCAUAGUCUCCUCCAUACUUUGUGCUUUAGUGCCUCAAACCCCAGGUACUUCUAGCUGGGAAAAUGCUCUAGCCUCUAUGUCUGGUAGCUCAUGUCCUCUUCUGAGGGCCUAGCAAAGCUGUUCUUCGUGUUGGAGAUUUUUUUCCAAUUCAUUAGUAAAACUGGAAUUAACUGAUUAACUUGCUGCACCAAAUCCCUGAGUAGAUGUGAAGUAGAUGCUGUUUCACACAGGGUGGGAUGCAGUGAGCAAGGCUGUAAAGGAUUCUGCCUUCCUUUACAAACUCCUGUGAGUCUGAUUCCAACCAAAAUUAUGCGUUCAUUUGUUUUCAUUCAUUACAACUUUAAUAAAUGUAAUAGAGGAGCAAAGUGUCUCUAACUCCUGGGAGAAGGGGAAGGGUAUUUUUUUCCUGUCUCGUGUAGUGUCACUAAAUCAAACCACCCAUACCACGAGUUCAGAAGUUGCAGUGAAAGCACUGUUACUUACAGGAAUGCAAGAAGGAGCUGGAAUACAGGUUUCUACCUGCAAGCAUAGGUCUCGUUGGCUGAGGAGACAGAUUUACCUCUUCAGUUCCUCCUCACCCUCUCGCAAUUAGAGCAGAGCUACAUGCGAGCAGGGCUGGGCAGCUCUGACCAAGGAAUAAAUACCAUGCUGACGAGGUGCCAGCAUCCCAUUUCAGACCAGCAGCCUUUCCCCUCCAUCAGCAUUACCUUUGGCAUACAUCUCCAAGGGUUUAUAGCUAGGUGGCAGACAGGGAGAUAUGACAUCGCAAUCUCAGAAUAUUAGGUCUAGUGAUCUUGUAAAUACUUUGUGUGAGCUAUUCACGGAGGUGAAUGUUUGUAUACUGGGUUAAAAGACUUUCAAGCACGAUUGCAUUGUUCUUCAUAGUAGCCUAUAGGAAGAAGCAAGCUGGGGAGAUGCAUAAUACCUAGAUAAUAGAUAAGCAAUCCCUUUGCAAAUAUUAGGGAAGCAAUUGCAACACAAUGCCAUACAUCCAUGCUCCAGGCUGCAUUUGAACAGCUAUUCUGCCUGAGUUGGGAAUAAAGAGGUCUAAAGUGCAUUGAAUAGUUAAAAAACUCUUUUCAAGAAAGGAUGAGAUCAGUUGUCAGUAGGUGUCCCAGACACAGAGAAUGCCCAACGUCUUUAGCAUCUGUCCUCAAAGACUCCAAGCAAGUGCAUCUUCCUCAUGAGCACCAAGGAUUUGUCUCCCCUCCCCCCGCCCUCCUCUGCUCUCCAAGGCACAAGUCAACAUCUCAGCUCUUUGCUAUGCAAGAGAGCUUGGUUUUAACCAGCUCAGAAACUCUGCUGCCUGGAGAGGAGUGCCGUCGCGGAGACAGCAUGUGUGAUUUCUUGAGGAUGCUGAUCACAUUUCCUCUUCAUAACUGCCUGGUGCCGAAGGGCAUGCAGAAAAUCUUGGUAGAAACCAUCCAUUUGGUGUGCGAGGCUGCCACAGCGGCGUGCCGCAGCAGGACUUAGUAACCAGGACUUGAAACUCGCCUGGGCUUUGCUCUCAGUUCCACAUUUUUGCUGCAGCAGGCCUAGUAUCACUUCACAGGAUGGGGUCCUGUCUGAAUUAAGAGGGACCAGAGAGGCCCAUAGGUAGCAUGGUAUUUGUCUUUGCUCUGUAUGUCCUUGCUCGAACAGUUAACAUUGUGUUAGGUGGCAGGAACUUUAGUUAACUUGAAAGCUAAGCCUGGACAAAUGGAGUGGGCUGACUCUGACUCAGCAGCUGUUUUUCAUGGAUAGGUAAAACAAAGUCAUUACGGGAAGGGUAUUCUUUUGCAUAAUCUAGUAUACAAGUUCCAUAUGUUCUUUCUUUGCAAUGUUUCUUUGCAGAUGUUGUUUCUUCUUGCAUUUCUUUCUAUUUCUAUACAAACAAAGAUUUUUUUUCCCAAAUUGCCCUAAGUAUUUUAAGGAUGUUGUACAUGCUCAUCAAGUGCUUCUUUAUUCUUCAUGUGACUCUUGUCAUGCAUCCCAGGACAGGUUUGGAUGCACUCAGGGUAAUGUUUCUGAGUAACUGUGCUGGUGGAGCUGUCACUGUGCCUUACAGCUGUCUAGCCUUCCGGAAUUAAAUGUAUAGAAGGAAUAUCCUGAGACGAGGACCUUUGUAUCCUUAAGUAUGACAGGCUUAAAGAUGUUAGGAUUAAAGACAUGUUUGUUUGGCUAGUCCCUCUAAUAAUGGAUACUUCUGAGAUAAUUCACCCAUGAGAAGCGCACAUGUCCUACCAGUAGUUUUGUUGCUCCUGUUCCAAAUAAGUAACAAAUGCAUCUUGAGAAUCAUGACGGUGUACCUUACUGCACUAAGCACAGACAAGAAUACUUUUUCCCAGGAACUAAUCCAGCACAGAUUCUGUCACCUAGUUAUAAUGCAGCAUCUAGUUGAGGUAUCAGUGACUAUAGGUGGUCCCACAUCUCUCAGGGGGUUGUCUUAUACCCAGUUGGAGCUCCCCCAUAAGACAACCCUUAAUUGUUGCUCACUAAUAAAGUGUGUCUUUUAUUACUGGAGACACUAUGAAAUAUUUGUGUCAGAUGAGAAUAAGAAAUCUCACAGUUUCUGCUGCAAAGCUGUUCCUGAUUCUCUGUGACUUGGUCUUAUGCUCCAUCUACCUUUAGACAGCUUUACUUUGAAUAGCAGGUCCGUGUUUGAUACCAGUUUUGGCAGAGCAGUCCUGCAGUCAUUGUUUAAGUAGAAUGAGUGCUGAGCUCUAGGAUCUGAGUGAUGGCUGAGUGACAUUCACAGGAUGUAAAAUAGAACUUGGGAAUGGCACUAACUGGGUCAGACCAAUGUCCAGCUGCCCAUGUGUUCUGUCUCCAAAAGCAGAAACAGGAGAUGUUAUUUAGGGAGACUGUACUAGCCUGGCCACUUUCUGUAGUCCAUUCCCCUUGACUUCCCUAGCACCCAGAGCAGUUGUAUUGGGGAUGUUAGCGUGUAGCCCUGCUUAGCCUUUUCAGUAUCUGCUUAUGGACUCUUGGUCCAUCAAGUUACCUCAUUUUUUUUUAUGAUCCUACAGAUACAGUCUUCCUCCACAGCCUUCUGCAUCGGCAAAUUCCAGAAGUUCACUAGGUGCUGUGUAAAGAGCUACUGUUACCUCUUUUAAAUCGAUCUCCUACUGGUUUCAUCAAGUGACCCCUAGUUCUAGUAUUGCAAAAGUUGUUGAAGAGUUCAGCUUUCAGCUUUUCUGCCACCUUCAUGAUUGUAUAAACCUUACUUAUAUUCCCUCUCUCAGCUACCUUCUCUUCAAAUUGGAGCCCUAAUCUUUUCUAGUUGCUCAUUCCUUAGAGCAACUGCUGUAUCCCUUUGACUGUUUUGGUUGCCCUUCUCUGGACAUGCAGUAACUCUACUACAUCCGCCUCAAGAUGCUGGGACCAGCACUGUGAAGAGUACUUAAGAUUUGAGAGGGAUACCACAGACAGUUUGUCUAAGAAGAGUCUUUAGUCACUUGCCCCAUAAACCCACUGUAACUCUGAUCCUGAGUCAUUGUCCAUUUGUAAGCCAUACUGCUUCCCUCUGAGUUACAGAGUUGGAUGGAUGUUAUGCUAGGGUGCAGGAGGGGGAUCGUGUACGCCGUAUCUUUCUGCUUUCCAAUCUAAAAUGCCAGAGUCUGCCAGGACACAGUGUUAACUCAUACAAAAAAAAAGUAUUGGGAUACAUGCAGACCAGAAGCGGAAUACAUAUUGACAAACCAUCUCAAAAAUCUACACUAACUGUAAGUAACCAACUAUUCUCUUUUCUUUAGUCAGUAUAUGUCUAACCUUACACAUGUAUAAUGAUAACCUGUUUUUAUAGAUCAUAUUUGUUCAAUACAUUAUUACGAGGAGAAUAGCGUAUUUUUCCAAUAAAGCUACCUCGUGUUGUCAUAUCAAGGCAGUCUCUACAUAUUCAUUGCAGAUGGCGUAUUACAGAAAUAAACUAUCUUAUAUUUAUUUAUUCUUCAACAAAUAUUGAACCAUUGCUGUUAAAGCAAAGUUCAGAUCCAUACAUCUGAUGAACUGAAGGAAACUGUUAGAACAUAGUUGCCAUUAACACAGUCUCUCUUUAGCAAUCUUUUGUAUUGAUGGAUUUACCAUUUUGUGGUUAAACAAUUUUUCCUCCUGGAAUAUUUCUAAAACCACUUUCUGAUAGAAAUCAGGAAAAUUGAAGUUCAUCUUGUACAUCACUACUUUGGACAGCUCUAUCUGGAGAAAAAUAAAUAUAGCAGAUAUAAAUUAAAAGAAAAGGGGACAAAACAAUCUGAGCUGGAAAGAGAAGAGUGCAAGUUUAUUUUAUUUCCUUGGUUGUGUAGGAGUCUUGUUAACCAGUAUGUAAUGCAUAGUCAUGUAAUAAAACAUGCUAGACAUUAAAAGGCAAAAACCCAGUUCACAGAUGUUGUAACGUUAUGAGAUAAUUUUAGGGAGUGAAUGGGGUGAAAAGGCUGGAUUUGUUAGAGAGGAAAAUACCUAUGGAGGCCUUUUCUGUGAGCAAUACCAUGACUUCAUUACCAUGUCAAUUCUGGGAAAAGGCUCUGAUUUAACACAGCAGUUGGCUGGAUCCAUAUGGAGCUGAUGAACCUCUGAAUGAAUAGUGAAUGGAAAAACUGCUGGAAUCUGCCUUCAGCUUUGUUCCCAGGAUGACCAAUGUAAAAGGCCUAAGAGCAAUACUGCACAGAUGGUGUAAAGAGGUAAACUUCUGAUUUCAUGAAAGCUGCAUUUCAAAGGGGUCCGAAGUGCCUGUACUGCUGUACCAAAGGGUCUCCACCACCUCUGCUGCUGAACACAAGACCUCGCUGCUCCUGUGAGUGUGGCCAGAUUAACUCCUAUGAGGCUGCACUGAAAAUCCCAGUUUGCAAGGAGGGGGUACUGUUCAUCCAAAAUAACAAGCAACAACAACAAAAAAUCCUACUGAGCGUGCUUAGUGGGACCUGCUAAGGCUUUUGUCAGGAACUAAUGACUUUGACCUCACUGUCCAAUCCCUCAGCAUAGAGGGCUUAGCCUGAAAAACAGACAUUGGUAUCCUCUUUCUGUGAGUAUUGAUGGAUUAUUUUGGGGGAGACUGGGGCCCACAUCCUCAAAAGUAGGUAGGUACCACAUGCGAUGGAAUUCAAGAAGAACUGGGCAGCUGGAUAGCUAUGAGGAUCCCACUUUGCAUUUCCAAUUAUGCAAAGUCCUAAGAAUACCUGCAGGAUUUUGAAAGUUCACAAGCUCUUUUACAUUUAAUGAUAAAGGAAGUAGUUUUGCAAUUUUUAAGUGUAGCGCAUUAGCUGUCACUAGUGCAAGAUAAUACUAGAUGAAAGUUUGCUUUCUAGCUGAGCAAUAGGUUUUGUAGAAAGGAAAGUCUAACGCACUGAAAUGAGUGAAGAAAGGGGCUAUUUCUGUGUUUUGGAGCUACAGGUUAUUUUAGUCCAUUAUUGUACCGAUAUCAGAUAAAUAAGAUUGGUCAUGUAAUAAUAAAAGCAGUUUUUGUUUUUAUUAAGAAGCAUGUAUUUUCCACAUUUUUCCUGGAAGGCUACUAAGAUCUUCCAUCCCAUGUUCGGUAUGUGCACAUUUGUAAAUCAGGCAUGAGUGAUUACUUCUGUUAGAAUUAUCUAAGGAAAACUGAAGCACCACAGUCAUGAAACAAGUUUGUAUUUCCCUUUUUAUUUAAUAUAAUCCUUAUUUUGGGAUACAGUCCAAUACUGUGAUUUCAUAAUAUCCCCUAACCUCUGUAUUCUGUUUUGUAAUUGAAGGAAAAGUGAUGACAGAAAAUCUUCCUAAUGUGAUCACAUUCUUAUAUGUAACUGUAAAAAGAAAAAUCCAAAUCUUGCUUCUUCAAAUUAGAGGAGUAGGUCCACUGCAUUUGGUAAGAGAUUUACACUGCCAGAGCAAGCAUGACUUGAUCCUGUGUGGUGUAAGCUAAUUUUUUUCCUAUUUGCUAAAUGUGUAGUCUUACUUCAGUGCACGUACCUUGGGCAGAAUUUAGUUCAAUCUUCUUAAUUUGCAACACUGGACCAACCAAAUUCAUCUGCACUGCAAUUCCAUUGACCUCUUUGGAGUUACUGAAUAAUUGGAUUUGACCUAAUAUGCUUUUCACUGAAUGCUAUCUUGCUUUUCAGGGAGGUUAACACAAUAACCAUUUUCUAUUUCUGCACUCAAACAUGAGCAUCCUUUCUUUUUUUUCUUUUAAUUCCUGCUACAGAAAGGAGAGAAGACAAAGUGCUGCUGUAAAUAGUGCUAAAUACCUAAAGGGUAUCCACAAUUGCCUUGAAACCUCACUUCAUUAGUUCAUGUUGAAACCAAUAGUAAAAUUCUUAGUGACAUUAGGAUGGCAGGAAUUUUCCCACUGUUGCACCUGGCUAUUUUUAUAGUCAACUGUCCUUCUGUAAAAGUGGGGUUCAGAUCACAUGAAGGUGAUAUACUCUGAAGGGUCGUGUUUCUUUCCAUUGACAGUAGAGGAAUCUUAGGUGAUUAACUCCAAAAUAUCUAAAAAUAGAGAAAAAAGAGCCCAAGUUAAACAUUAAAGUACCUUGCCACUAUCUCUAGUGGUGCCUUUGAAGUUCAAAAGCUAGGAGUCAAAUUCUUCGGUGUGCCUUGAACAAGCCGUGUCCGAUACGGGAAGGUGGAUAAAGCCAGGCGUCUCUCUGAGGCUGCAUGAUCUGGCUUAAGCUGAAUAUUUUGGCCUGAAUUCAUCUAUCAUCCUUUCAUGAAGUGAAUCUUGGUAACAGAGUAAGAGGAUGCACGAGCCUUUCUCUGUGAAGUUCGUGAUCUUGAUUAUGUGUCUUGAUUACGUGUCUUGACCUCGAAAUGAUGAUGUAUGCAUUAAGGUUUAGUACGUGUAGGCAACACUGGGCUUACAUAAAAUGCUCACGUGCAAAGAGUUUUUUGUUUGUGUGUAAGUAUUUGCAGGUUUGGGGCUUUAAGGAACAAAUUCACACUGGCAGUGUUAGUAAACUUAAGUUUGUGUUUUCUGAGAAAUAAUUGGCCUAGGAGGACAUUGUAUUGAAUAGGAUUUUAAGUGCCUAAUUUGAAAUGUAUUUCUAUGUGCCAGAAUCAAAUACGUAUUUAAUAGAUUAUACGAGUUAUAAUCAAUUGAUUUGAUCAGUUAUUAUUAAGAUUUGAGAUACUAGGCCUAAUUCUACUUUCCUAAAGCUUGUGUGGUCUGACUUAAACCAUAUAAGAUGCAUGUAAGGUGUUAUUUCCACUUUACAAGCAUCAGUGUUCGCACCUGAUGAAGAGCCUGGAAAAUAAGGCCCUAAUAGUAACGUGCCUUGCAUCUGACGCAAUACAGAUUGUGUGUCCACAUUAGCAAGCAGUGCAGACCAAUAGCGAUGCAUCUGCAGAAAGGAACUGUCGGUGCUCUGGACCUGGUGCCCACGCUGCACACAUUUCAGGAGGGUACUUCAGGCUGAUGCUAGUCAAGUCCCAUGGAAUGAAUGUCAGUAAUCGAAGUGAGUAAAUUAGGGCUCUUGGGAACACAUCUUUCUGGUUUAGCUCUGAGACCACCCUGCAAUGUGAGCUGAAGUGCAGUAAAUGGGAAUGAUUGGGAGGUUCGACUCAAAAGAAUCCUUGUGAUCCCAACUAAAGCAAUAAUAUAGAUGCACCCACAUGGAGUGAUUUGUGCAUGAGAGUUGCUCAUUUUGUUAAGUGACUGCUUUUAGAUCUUAAUUUGCUUUUCUCAAGACUUUGUAUUUAAUUAUUCUGCCAUCACUAACCCAUUCAGGAAGAGCCAAUGCAGGUGUGUGGUUCCUGAGAGCAUAGACCAAAGGUUUCUACCUCUCUGGCCUUGUUGUAGAAGUGUAUCAGCACAAGCAGAUUAACAGUGAUGAUACGAAAUGCAGCUGUGUGAUCUGAAUGUCCUUACUGAGUAGGUUUUGAUUAGCCAGUCAGCGUAGUAGCGUAUUUUAAAUAAUUUUUUUCUCCUUGUGAGGUGUAGUGGUAUGCCUUGGUUCACUGAACACAUCCCCGAACACAUCACCCUUGAAUAUCACUAAUACACAUACUCUGCAUGGAUUGCAGUGAGGCUUGUGGUACUUAUAUAGAUGCAAACCAGGAAGAACCACAAGGUGGAAAAUAAAUUUGAAACCAUAUCUUGCUGAGGAGUGGUACUGCAACUAAAAAAAAAUCCAGUAUAGAAACUAGAUCCAAACACAUUGCUGAUUAUUCCUCUGCAAUUCUCCUUUAAAACUUCUGAUGGUCUUUAAACAGUUGUACUAAUGUUUCAAAAGAAAUGUAAUUUUACAGAGUGACUUUUCUGGGAAUAGAAUGAGAUGAAACAUCUGUCCUUCUGAACUGUUGGAAUUGCUUGGCUGAAGCAAAUGUAAGAUGAAAAAAAUGGAGAUAAAAAGACAGUUGAAAAAAAAUAGGACUUGUUAAUCUUUUCUCUAAAACACAUACUAAACUUUUCAAGUUAAAUUUACUCAUACUAUUUCCUGCUAUUUUAUAUUACUACAUCUUCCCACAUAACAACUGGGUUAAAAAAGGAAAAAAGUAAAGCUGGUUUCAUUACUGGGGUAAUAGCAUAUGCUAGGACAAUUGAAAAAGUCUGAUGCAUUUUCUAAUCACAAAAUACAGUUUUAUAUUUUAAAAUGAUGUGAAGGAAAACAUUUUAUGAUCUAGACUCUUGUAUCAUAUUGUCAGCAUCUCAGCUAAUUAUGAUGGUGAGCCUUAUUUUGUUCUAAGCUGGCAUUCUAGAAAACACACCGGAAUAAACAACCAUUAAGCCUUCCAUGCCAGAAAGCACUUUUAAGACUAGUAAAAGGUAACAUUGUCUUUUUAAAAUGUUUUCGGCAGCUAGUCAUCUAUUUUCUUGGUGUUCUGUAAACCCUAUUAUCAGGGCUGCAGAUUCCUACACAUGACCAGUCUUCAGUAGUGAACAAAAAUGGCAUCUAAAUCCCAAGUGACACUCUUAAGUACUUGGCAGCAGAAGGGCUCUUCUGAGGAAGAUUAAGUUAAUGGAAGCAUUUGGGUAACAUCUGCAUGACUCUUCGUCCUGGUAUGGCCAACUCACACUGCUGCAACACGUGACGGAGGAUUUCUUCGAUUAUCACUUAAGAACAAAACUGGCUGAAGUUCCUUUCCAGGCAUUUGUCAGACUGUAACGUCACCCUUUUAGAGGCAGUGAGCUGUGUCAUACAGUCUGAAGGAUUCUGGAAACUUGCUGCUGAACAGGAUUCAGAGUGGCUUAGGAGCAGAAAAUAUCUUCUCUUACUUGCUGUCUGUUGAGAAGUGACCCUGCUGAAACUCCUUUCUUGCUGCUACUCCUAAUAUACCCACUAGGGACAGGAAACUUUUGCCACAAGCCCUUCAGCAGAGAGCAGAUCCAUUGGGGUCUCAGUUACAUGGUGUGGUCUGGUGCCCAGUUUAACUUCACUUUGUCUUUCCAGCAGUCCCAGAACUCUUCAAAAAUGUGGGUGGAGAUCCAUUACUGAUGCUUACUAUGGUUACUCGCCAUGAAAAACAGUAUGAACGGCCAACACAGACUCCAGGUGGUGGAUCAGCAUUAAUCAUAAUAGACCCAGGGGCAGACGAUUGGCAAGAUACCACAAGAAAUGGUUCUACAUCCAUCCCCUUGAACUCUGCUUCCUCCCACCGGGGACAGGGAUAUGGAGGUUUUCUCUGCAUGGUUUCAUGAAGGAUAAUUUUUGGAGGAAAGUUGCACAGGAGGGGAAAGGGUUCAGGAGCAAGACAGAUCUCCAUGAAGUUAAAUUUAUCUAUUCACUGUGAACCCAGAGCCCAAGAGUCGAUCAUGACAUAUGUAUCAGCCCAGAGGAAGGAAUAAGAGGACAGAUGGCAGAAAUUUCCCAAGGGAGAAAAGAGAAUUACUAGAGAAGAUCAGAAUCAGACCUGCACAGACUUGCUGUGAGAACCAUAUGUAUGGGAAGAAGUAACCUAGACCCAAGAUGCAAGUUCAUGGAUUGCAAGACAGGAGGCCAAACACUGAAACAGCAUCUGACAAAAGUCUUCUUGAUACGCAUCGAAUCCUGACCUAGGCUGGAAAGUAAUUUUUGUGAACAUAUUUACAGAAUGAUGUGUAACAGAUCUAGCAAAGGCUGAAGGCUGGUAAUAGUGACUGAUGUAGUACCACGGAGAAAAGAAACCUGAACACUGCUCUCCGAGGAGGCCGAGUGAGGAGUGAGGGCUGAUAUGUUGAAUGCCUCCCUGCAAAUCUUGAAUCCAGCCUUGCCUUGGUUUGCUCACUCGUUAAGCCAAUGGGUAUUGCUCCGAGGUAAAAGCACAGGAGAAUUUUUUGUAUUCUGUAGCUGACAAAGGGAAUGUCCUGAAUUUAUUCUAAUGGCAUGGUUUUACUUUCAGGUAGGUGUUGGCAUGCACAAACCAUUUCAAAAUGUCUGCUGCAAUGACUGCAAGCAUGAAAUGGUCCAUAGGAGCUUACAUACGCAAGCACACUGUCUGUGGGCAGGGUGUAUAAAGAGGGUGAUUCAUGAACUUUGCUUCUUAAACCAUAACCUUCCACAUAGGAAGCUCAAGUAGGUCACAUACUGAGGGGAGCCAGGAAACACACAUAUGUGUGUGAUGCAAAUCUGAUAGCCUGUCUAGUAACCGGGAGUGGCCAACAGACGUGCAUCCCAGUUUGUCAGAUGUGUUUAUACAUUUUCUGAGAUGUUACAGAUAUAAAGUGUAUAUCAGAGCUUAGAAUCUGACCUUAAAAAGUAGAUGUCUUCUAAGAUUCUAUUCAACUUCCUCGUGAUAAGAAUUAGCUUUCCAACUUAAUCAGCAUUUGCGACUUGAUUCAGCAGAGCACUGAAGAUGCACUUAUGGCAAUCUCCAUUCAGCAAAAUUUUUAACCUUAAAUGCAUGGUCCAAGAACAGAGCUUAAAAUUAAGUGUGGGUUUACAUGCUUCACAAAACUGGGUUUUGACUUUGAGCCUCUGGAUGGGAAAAUUAGUCAUGAAUGUUUGGUUCAUAGUGUGAGGUUUCUCCCUUUUUACUCAGGAGGACACUGGUACAGGAGGUGUCACUGGUAACCACAACUACUGGUGAACAGUUAGCAGGAGAUUUUAGAACCCCCUUUAAAAUAACAGCUAAACAUGUGAGUAGGUAUAAAAUAAGCAGAAGUAGUUUUUUUAACAUUUGGAUAUUAAAAAAAGAAAAAUUUUUGGAAGACUGACAUUUCAAUUUCAAAAUUAAGUAAAAAAUUUGUAAUUCAGAAAAAGGUUGCAGUCAUCUGUAACCCUCAGGGUCCAUAUGCCUGCAGGCAGACGUUCUCUUUCUAAGUCACUUUUCCAAGGUCCUGGGUUUGUAAACAUGUAAAAUAAAUGAACAAAUAAAUACACACACGUGUUUUGAUAUGCUCCACCAUUCCUCUGAUAUUGCCCCGUAGGAUACAAGAAAGACAUGAGGAAUCAGAAUAAAGGGAUCAGGAAUAUCAGGGAUAAAGACUUUCUUUUAUUCCUUGUCAGGGAUAAAGAUGUAAGAAUCAGUGCUUUGGAGGAUGCCCUGUUACUAGACGCUAAUGCAUGUGAGGAAUGCUAUCUUCAGCUGCACUGCUAGUGGAGUUCUGCAAAGUCCACUCCACAAAGUCAUUUGUAGUCUGACCAUGGGACCUCUUUUACUUCAACGUGCCACUGGCAGCAGCAGUAUCUCGCUUCCUCCUCUGCCGUCUGCAGACCAGAAACAUCACUAUCUCCCAGCCACGGCAAACUGAAGAACCCAAUCCUCCUUAUCUGCUCUCAAAAAUGCACCGUGAGGAAUGUCCCAGAAAUGGUAACUUCCUGAUGUGACUCACAUGCUCCAUCCUAAUGUCUGUGGAUGGCUCCUGAAUUUUUAAGCAUUGAUAUGCUUUUUUUAGCAUUGAUAUGAAAGAUGUUCUCUUACAAAAGGAGUUCAUUAGUUGAGCAGUGCUCUUUCACGGCAUUGUAGGAAUCAGUGCUCCAGAUAAGAGCACUUUCUGGUCUGGUGCCUAUCUUCAGAUUUGCCAAGGGGGGCAACACUGUAUGGCAAUGGGAAGAUUCUUUAAAAGCCCUGAUUAGGCAUUAAUGCAGGUGCUAAUUUCUGCCUUUAAUGUACCUCUGAUAAAUUAUUAUCAUAGUCCAGUGAUUUAUAAGGUUUGAGGUAGGCUGUCUGGUGAGGGAUGGAUGAUCCCACUGGACAGUCCGCCUCAAACCUUAUAAAUUGCUGGAAGUAGGGUUUUGGAGCAGGAGCCUGGAUUUAUUCAUAAUUAUGUUUUUAUGUAUAUAUGUUUUUUGGUUUAAUAGGUGUGAAGAGUAUAAAACAGGGUAAGCAAACUAUUGCUUCAAAGGGAAAUGUUUAAAAAAAGUUUGAGAACACCCGUUCUAAUUAUUGUAUAUGACAUUAAUUUUAAUUUCCAAUUAAACUCUGAGCUAGAGAAUAUCUUCUUACACACAUGACUUCUGCUGGUCGCCUGCAUGUUAUGGGAAAGAGCAUGUUUUGCUAUUUUAAAAUGAUUUAUUUAAUGUCCUUGUAAAGUUUCAUUCCUCUCUCUUUAGUUCCAACCCAGGUAAGAAUUUCUUUUUUAAACCUCAUAAAUUAGAGAAAUUUCCUAUUAAUUCAUCUGGCAUAUCCUUUGCUAGCAAUGUUAGAUUUUUUUUUUUCCGUAUGUGUUGUAUAAUUGGUAGUUGACCCCAUUUAGUUCUAACUGUCAGAAGAAGCAGAAACCCCUCCAGUUUCCAGAACCUGCUCCACAACUUUGUAGACUGUGUGUAUUCCAGUCACAGUCUCUAUCUGUACAAAAUUUGGAAUAAAUGUAUUGAAGUCAACAAAGCUGUUUUAGUUUAACAUAAUGUAAUAAUAGACUUUGUCCUCGAACUCCAUCUAUCAUUCCAGCACUCGUUAGGCAUUCUGGUUUUGUUCUUACUAGGAGCCAUCAUAAAGAAAUUGAUUUCCCUCUGUUCCCUCAUCCAAUUUAUUGCAAGAGAACUCCAUGUUCAUUUGCCCAUUACGCAGCAUUUUGUGGGGUGAGAAAGAAACAAGCCAAAAGAAAUCAUCAGAAGAAGUAGUUAUCAUGUUGGAUGAGAGACUGUUCUCGUUUAUUUUUGGCAUAAAUGCAGAACAGCUCCACUUCUCCCUGAGGAGUUUAUUUGCAUUUAGUUGGGUGAGACGAACUCCAGAUUGUACUCUGAACCCCAAAACUCACCUUCUCUACCCCUGUUUGCUGCACUGAGUUAUGAAAGAGACUUCUUAUGAUCUUGUAGCCUAUGUGUUAUGAUUUCCAUUACCUCUGCUGUUCCUCCCCCUCCUUCAUUGCUAGUUGUGUACCCCAAGUUGGGCAGCCAAGUAACGUGUCCUCCAUGGCUGUUAAAAUUACACUAUAAACAGGCUGGGAAGCAAUAUAGUUGGAGCAAAGCAACCGGCACAGUCCUCUUUCCUCUCCCCAGUGGCAAAGUUGCUCAUGACCACAACGGACCAGGUCUCUGUUAUCCGGAGAGUGUAACCAUGGGGUUGUUUCUGCAUCUGGGUCCUUCACAGGGUUGCACAAAUCAUGGUGCGUUUCAGUAAGGAUGCCACCAUCAGUGUGCUGAACGUCAUACAACGGCAAUGACAGAAAACAAGAGUCCUCUCCUCCCGCACUGCUCUGUGCUGUGAACAAAACAGCGUUCUCGGUGGAGCCCAACUGAAAACUUUCUGCACAGUUGGCUCAGUUAGAAAUUUGCCGUGAGGAAUGCAUUAGCUGGUAAAUCUGUAAGCUGUGAAUUGCAUAGAGACUUGACAUGACAGUAGAUUAAGUGAUCCAGUAGUAGUUUUGCUUUACCUUUAUGCCACUCAUUGGCUUCCUGUUUAGCUGCAUCACAUGAAAUCUUCCCAGCCUCACCUUCAGGGCCUUACAGAUGUUGCCCUCACUGCCAUGUCACCUUCCUGUACUAGUUUACCAGCUUCAUAUCUGUCCCCUGCCUACAACUUUGUGCUUUCUGUUAUGUAUUUUCUAUCCCUGGCACAAUUUUUCCCCAGAAAACGGACCUGCUUCUGUAUGUCAGUAAUUCUUUGCCCACCUACCAUCCCUUUCUUGCCUUUUCCAUCUAGCAUCAUUAGGCCUUUAAGUAGUGAAAUAGCUUGUUUUGGUUUGUUGUGGAUGCUGUAUAUUUAUACACGUUGGAUGGGCUAAGAUCAGUACUAUUCUUGUGGCGUUGCAUUUUUGAAAGCUGUUUGUACAGGAUCCCUGUAGACCAUAAUAAAAAAUGUCUCAAUAUAUCUUAAUUUCAAUGAUGUGAGGACAGUGGCUGAGACCAGUACUUCAUGGCAUGAUCCACGGCUAAAGUAAUUACAGCAGUCCCUUGCAGCUAAACAUGUAGAUAUUGUAGAUGAAGUGUUUAUGCAUUUGUGUGAUUCUGGGAAAAAAAAAAUUCUGUUUGGAAAUUCUGAAUAAUGGUUUUGAUUAAAUUAAUAUUGCAGAGA